ACGAGCGAAUGUUCUCACGCGAUC
rnacentral:miRNA from 10 species